CCUACGGGAGGCAGCAGUGGGGGAUAUUGCGCAAUGGGGGAAACCCUGACGCAGCGACGCCGCGUGAGCGAGGAAGGCCUUCGGGUCGUAAAGCUCUGCCCCUGGGGACGAAUUAAGUGACGGUACCUGGGGAGGAAGCCCCGGCUAACUACGUGCCAGCAGCCGCGGUAAU
rnacentral:rRNA from 1 species